CCUACGGGAGGCAGCAGUAGGGAAUCUUCCGCAAUGGACGAAAGUCUGACGGAGCAACGCCGCGUGAACGAUGAAGGCCUUCGGGUCGUAAAGUUCUGUUGUUAGGGAAGAACAAGUGCUAGUUAAAUAAGCUGGCACCUUGACGGUACCUAACCAGAAAGCCACGGCUAACUACGUGCCAGCAGCCGCGGUAAUACGUAGGUGGCAAGCGUUGUCCGGAAUUAUUGGGCGUAAAGCGCGCGCAGGCGGUUUCUUAAGUCUGAUGUGAAAGCCCCCGGCUCAACCGGGGAGGGUCAUUGGAAACUGGGAAACUUGAGUGCAGAAGAGGAAAGUGGAAUUCCAAGUGUAGCGGUGAAAUGCGUAGAGAUUUGGAGGAACACCAGUGGCGAAGGCGACUUUCUGGUCUGUAACUGACGCUGAGGCGCGAAAGCGUGGGGAGCAAACAGGAUUAGAUACCCUGGUAGUCCACGCUGUAAACGAUGAGUGCUAAGUGUUAGAGGGUUUCCGCCUUUAGUGCUGAAGUUAACGCAUUAAGCACUCCGCCUGGGGAGUACGGUGCAAGACUGAAACUUAAAGGAAUUGACGG
rnacentral:rRNA from 1 species